rnacentral:rRNA from 1 species
AGUGAACGCUGGCGGUAGGCCUAACACAUGCAAGUCGAACGGCAGCACAGUAAGAGCUUGCUCUUACGGGUGGCGAGUGGCGGACGGGUGAGGAAUACAUCGGAAUCUACUUUUUCGUGGGGGAUAACGUAGGGAAACUUACGCUAAUACCGCAUACGACCUACGGGUGAAGGCAGGGGAUCUUCGGACCUUGCGCGAUUGAAUGAGCCGAUGUCGGAUUAGCUAGUUGGCGGGGUAAAGGCCCACCAAGGCGACGAUCCGUAGCUGGUCUGAGAGGAUGAUCAGCCACACUGGAACUGAGACACGGUCCAGACUCCUACGGGAGGCAGCAGUGGGGAAUAUUGGACAAUGGGCGCAAGCCUGCUCCAGCCAUACCGCGUGGGUGAAGAAGGCCUUCGGGUUGUAAAGCCCUUUUGUUGGGAAAGAAAAGCAGCAGGUUAAUACCCCGCUGUUCUGACGGUACCCAAAGAAUAAGCACCGGCUAACUUCGUG